rnacentral:rRNA from 1 species
GGGACACGUGAAACCCUGUGGGAAGCAGGAGGGACCACCCUCCAAGGCUAAAUACUACCUAGUGACCGAUAGCGUAUAGUACCGUGAGGGAAAGGUGAAAAGAACCCCGGGAGGGGAGUGAAAUAGAACCUGAAACCCUGCACUUACAAGCUGUGGAAGCACAUUUCUUGUGUGACCGCGUACUUUUUGUAGAACGGGCCAACGAGUUACGUUAAGUAGCAAGGUUAAGCACUUAAGGUGCGGAGCCGUAGCGAAAGCGAGUUUUAACUGAGCGUUCAGUUACUUGACGUAGACCCGAAACCGGGCGACCUACCCAUGAGCAGGAUGAAGCGAAAGUAAAAUUUCGUGGAGGUCCGAACCCACGAGCGUUGAAAAGCUCGGGGAUGACUUGUGGGUAGCGGUGAAAUUCCAAUCGAGCCCGGAGAUAGCUGGUUCUCCCCGAAAUAGCUUUAGGGCUAGCCUCAAGGUGAGAGAUACGGAGGUAGAGCACUGAAUGUCCUAGGGGGUAUUGCACCUACCGAAGACUAUCAAACUCCGAAUGCCGUCAUCUUAUACUUGGGAGUCAGACUGUGGGUGAUAAGAUUCAUAGUCGAAAGGGCAACAGCCCAGAUCGUCAGCUAAGGUCCCUAAAUGUAAGUUAAGUGGUAAAGGAUGUGGGAUUGCACAGACAACCAGGAUGUUGGCUUAGAAGCAGCCACUCAUUCAAAGAGUGCGUAAUAGCUCACUGGUCGAGUGAUCCUGCGCCGAAGAUUUCCGGGGCUAAAACUUACUACCGAAGCUACGGCAUCAUUAUGAUGGGUAGGGGAGCUUCCCAUACGGGUUGAAGCAUGACCGUAAGGACAUGUGGACAGUAUGGGAGUGAGAAUGUUGGCAUGAGUAGCGAGAUGUGGGUGAGAAUCCCACAGGCCGUAAACCCAAGGUUUCCAGGGGAAGGUUCGUCCGCCCUGGGUUAGUCGGGACCUAAGCUGAGGCCGAAAGGCGUAGGUGAUGGACAACAGGUUGAUAUUCCUGUAC